ACAUGCGAGUCGAGGGGCAGCAUGAUUGAAGCUUGCUUCAAUUGAUGGCGACCGGCGCACGGGUGAGUAACGCGUAUCCAACCUUCCGUACACUCAGGGAUAGCCUUUCGAAAGAAAGAUUAAUACCCGAUGGUAUGAUGAGAUUGCAUGAUAGCAUCAUUAAAGAUUUAUCGGUGUACGAUGGGGAUGCGUUCCAUUAGGUAGUAGGCGGGGUAACGGCCCACCUAGCCGACGAUGGAUAGGGGUUCUGAGAGGAAGGUCCCCCACAUUGGAACUGAGACACGGUCCAAACUCCUACGGGAGGCAGCAGUGAGGAAUAUUGGUCAAUGGACGAGAGUCUGAACCAGCCAAGUAGCGUGAAGGAUGAAGGUCCUACGGAUUGUAAACUUCUUUUAUAAGGGAAUAAAACCUCCCACGUGUGGGAGCUUGUAUGUACCUUAUGAAUAAGCAUCGGCUAACUCCGUGCCAGCAGCCGCGGUAAUACGGAGGAUGCGAGCGUUAUCCGGAUUUAUUGGGUUUAAAGGGAGCGCAGACGGGUCGUUAAGUCAGCUGUGAAAGUUUGGGGCUCAACCUUAAAAUUGCAGUUGAUACUGGCGUCCUUGAGUGCGGUUGAGGUGUGCGGAAUUCGUGGUGUAGCGGUGAAAUGCUUAGAUAUCACGAAGAACUCCGAUUGCGAAGGCAGCACACUAAGCCGUAACUGACGUUCAUGCUCGAAAGUGUGGGUAUCAAACAGGAUUAGAUACCCUGGUAGUCCACACGGUAAACGAUGGAUACUCGCUGUUGGCGAUAUACAGUCAGCGGCUUAGCGAAAGCGUUAAGUAUCCCACCUGGGGAGUACGCCGGCAACGGUGAAACUCAAAGGAAUUGACGGGGGCCCGCACAAGCGGAGGAACAUGUGGUUUAAUUCGAUGAUACGCGAGGAACCUUACCCGGGCUUAA
rnacentral:rRNA from 1 species